CCAGUCGGCCGGACGGCUGCUGGCCCCGCCGCCCGCAAGGGUAAAGCUGGGCUGGAGGAAAGUCCGGGCUCCAAGGAAGCACGGUGGCGGCUAACGGCCGCCGGGGGCAACCCCAGGGAAAGUGCCACAGAAAGCAAACCGCUCUCAGCGCGCAAGCGUCGCGAGCAAGGGUGAAAGGGUGCGGUAAGAGCGCACCGCGCGCCUGGCAACAGGCGUGGCAAGGUAAACCCCACCGGGAGCAAGACCAAAUAGGGGUGGCCAGGCAUGAUCGGUUCGCCGCUCGAUGCCAGGUUGGUUUCCUGACCCGCCACCCGGGUUGGUUGCACGAGGCGUUGCGCGAGCGGCGUCCCAGAUGAAUGGCCGUCGCGGAGGCAACUCCAGACAGAACCCGGCUUACAGGCCGACUGGUAAA
rnacentral:RNase_P_RNA from 1 species